AUGAACGCUGGCGGCGUGCCUAAUACCUGCAAGUCGAGCGAACAGACGAGGAGCUUGCUCCUCUGACGUUAGCGGCGGACGGGUGAGUAACACGUGGAUAACCUACCUAUAAGACUGGGAUAACUUCGGGAAACCGGAGCUAAUACCGGAUAAUAUAUUGAACCGCAUGGUUCAAUAGUGAAAGACGGUUUUGCUGUCACUUAUAGAUGGAUCCGCGCCGCAUUAGCUAGUUGGUAAGGUAACGGCUUACCAAGGCAACGAUGCGUAGCCGACCUGAGAGGGUGAUCGGCCACACUGGAACUGAGACAGGGUCCAGACUCCUACGGGAGGCAGCAGUAGGGAAUCUUCCGCAAUGGGCGAAAGCCUGACGGAGCAACGCCGCGUGAGUGAUGAAGGUCUUCGGAUCGUAAAACUCUGUUAUUAGGGAAGAACAAAUGUGUAAGUAACUAUGCACGUCUUGACGGUACCUAAUCAGAAAGCCACGGCUAACUACGUG
rnacentral:rRNA from 1 species